UGCGAUGGGCGAAGCCUGAGCACGACGCCGCGUGAGUGAUGAAGGCCUUCGGGUCGUAAAGCUCUGUUGUACGGGAAAAAGAAAGUGAUGGUACCGUAUAAGAAAGGAACGGCUAACUUCGUGCCAGCAGCCGCGGUAAUACGAGGGUUCCUAGCGUUGUUCGGAAUCAUUGGGCGUAAAGCGUGUGUAGGUGGCUAUUUAAGUCAGGUGUGAAAGCCCCGGGCUCAACCCGGGAAGUGCAUUUGAUACUGAAUAGCUUGAGUAUGGGAGAGGAUAGUGGAAUUCCUGGUGUAGUGGUGAAAUACGUAGAUAUCGGGGGGGGGGGGGGGUGGCGAAGGCGGCUAUCUAGCCCUAUACUGACACUGAGACACGAAA
rnacentral:rRNA from 1 species